rnacentral:rRNA from 1 species
UACGAAGGGGGCUAGCGUUGUUCGGAAUUACUGGGCGUAAAGCGCACGUAGGCGGAUUGUUAAGUUCGGGGUGAAAUCCCGGGGCUCAACCCCGGAACUGCCUUUAAUACUGGCAAUCUCGAGUCCGAGAGAGGUGAGUGGAAUUCCGAGUGUAGAGGUGAAAUUCGUAGAUAUUCGGAGGAACACCAGUGGCGAAGGCGGCUCACUGGCUCGGUACUGACGCUGAGGUGCGAAAGCGUGGGGAGCAAACAGG